GUUUGGGCCAUGGGGGUGGAUCCCUCAUGAGUGGCUUGGUGCUGUCCUCAUGGUAGUAAGUGAGUUCUCGCUCUAUUAAUUCCCAUGAGAGCUGGUUGUUAAAAAGAGUCUGGCAACUCCCCCAUCUCUUUUUUGCUUCUUCUCUCACCACGUGAGCUCUGCACACACUGGCUCCCCUUCAUCUUCCACCAUGAGUGGAAGCAGCCCGAGGCUUUCAUCAGAUGCCCAGUCUUCCAGCCAGCAGAAUUGUUGAAUCUUCCUUCCCAAAAUCCCAAUGAUGCAUCAGGCUACUCUUCGGAUUCUCCGUAUCACAUGAAAGAUACAGGCCUUGUCCAUGAUGUUACAUAUAAGGCUGGCAAUUAAAUGAAGGACAAAUGGGUAGAAACAACCUUUUUGGGAAAUUUUUUAAAUGAGUUAAUGAUCCAUUCCGUAAGCAUUACAAACUGAAGUAAUGCCCUAUUUUGUGGAUGAGGAAAUCUAGACUGAUAAGAGUCCCACGGUCACAGAGUGAAGAAAUGGGAACAUUGGGCUGUCCAGCUUUUUCCACUCAGUACACCAUACCGUGUCUAUGUCACCUGGAUCUAAGAGUUAGUUGAGGUUGGGAUAAGAGAAAUAAAAGGCUAACCAUGAUGCUAAAAUGUCUGAAUCAUUAUUGACUUACCGGCUUGUCAACAAUCUAAUACACAAGGAGAGC
rnacentral:lncRNA from 10 species